GAUGAACGCUGGCGGCGUGCCUAAUACAUGCAAGUCGAGCGAAUGGAUUAAGAGCUUGCUCUUAUGAUGUUAGCGGCGGACGGGUGAGUAACACGUGGGUAACCUGCCCAUAAGACUGGGAUAACUCCGGGAAACCGGGGCUAAUAUCGGAUAACAUUCUGAACCGGAUGGUUCGAAAUUGAAAGGCGGCUUCGGCUGUCACUUAUGGCUGGACCCGCGUCGCAUUAGCUAGUUGGUGAGGUAACGGCUCACCAAGGCAACGAUGCGUAGCCGACCUGAGAGGGUGAUCGGCCACACUGGGACUGAGACACGGCCCAGACUCCUACGGGAGGCAGCAGUAGGGAAUCUUCCGCAAUGGACGAAAGUCUGACGGAGCAACGCCGCGUGAGUGAUGAAGGCUUUCGGGUCGUAAAACUCUGUUGUUAGGGAAGAACAAGUGCUAGUUGAAUAAGCUGACACCUUGACGGUACUUAACCAGAAAGCCACGGCUAACUACGUGCCAGCAGCCGCAGUAA
rnacentral:rRNA from 1 species